rnacentral:rRNA from 1 species
GACGAACCGUGCGAACGUUAUUCGGAAUCACUGGGCUUAAAGCGCGUGUAGGCGGGAGGGCACGUCGGCCGCUGAAAUCCCCCGGCUCAACCGGGGAAGGGGCGCCGAUACGACACUCCUGGAGGGACGUAGGGGGACCUGGAACUUCCGGUGGAGCGGUGAAAUGCGUUGAGAUCGGAAGGAACGCCCGUGGCGAAAGCGAGGUCCUGGACGUUUUCUGACGCUGAGACGCGAAAGCCAGGGGAGCGAACGGG